rnacentral:rRNA from 1 species
UACGAAGGGGGCGAGCGUUGUUCGGAAUUACUGGGCGUAAAGGGCGCGUAGGCGGCCGAUCAAGUCAGAUGGGAAAGUCCUGGGCUUAACCUGGGGACUGCAUUUGAUACUGAUUGGCUUGAAUUCGGGAGAGGAUAGCGGAAUUCCCAGUGUAGAGGUGAAAUUCGUAGAUAUUGGGAAGAACACCGGUGGCGAAGGCGGCUAUCUGGACCGACAUUGACGCUGAUGCGCGAAAGCGUGGGGAGCAAACAGG